AGUUCCCGGUGGGGAUGCAGACAUGCUCCGCAGGUAGGGGGCCCAAGGGAAGGGAACUGACUUUUGAGCUUUGGGUUUUUUUCUCUCUCCCUUCCAUAGGUAACAGGGAAAGGGAGUUUGCAGAUGGAAGGGCAGAAGCAGCUGAAGGUUAAAGAGAAAAGACCAAAAAGCUCCUUCUCCGUCUCGCUGACCUUCACCUCCAGAAUGGCCCCUUCCCCCUCCCUCGUCAUCUACACCAUAUUUCCCGGCGGAGGGGUCAUAGCUGACAAAAUUCAGUUCUCCGUGGAGAUGUGCUUCGACAACCAGGUCUCCAUUGGCUUCUCACCUUCCCAGCAGCUCCCAGGGACAGUUGUGGAGUUACAGCUUCAGGCAGCACCUGGGUCCCUGUGUGCAGUCCGGGCUGUGGAUGAGAGUGUCCUGCUCCUCAGGCCGGAGAGUGAGCUGAGCAACAGCUCUGUCUAUGGGAUGUUUCCAUCCUGGUACAAUUUUUACCCCUACCAAGUGGCUGAGUAUGAUGAGUGCCCGGUGUUCGGCCCAUGGGACUUUCCUCAACCCCUCAUCGAUCCUGUGCCCGGAGCGGGACUGAGCAGGCAUUCCAUCAUCUGGAGACCCUGGUACUCUGAAGGCGCGGACCUGUUCACUUUCUUCCAGGACAUGGGCUUGAAAAUUCUAUCAAAUGCCAAAAUCAAGAAGCCGGUAGACUGCAGUCACCUCCCUCCACACUACAGCAAUACCAUGGAUGGAGCCGCGUCAGCAGGUGGCGGUAUUGCCCCAGAGACUGGGUUCGCAUCGCCAUCGCCACAGACCGUGGGCUCUCAGGUCCGCCAGUACUUCCCGGAGACCUGGCUGUGGGAACUGCUUCCGGUCGGUAACUCCGGAAACAAGGUGGUCCAGGUCACAGUUCCUGAUACCAUCACACAGUGGAAGGCUAUGACCUUCUGCACCUCCCAGUCCAGAGGCUUCGGCCUUUCGCCUACUGUUGGGCUGACGGCUUUCCAGCCAUUCUUUGUUGAUCUGAUGAUGCCUUACUCAGUCGUUCGCGGAGAAUCCUUCCGCCUUACAGCCACCGUCUUCAAUUAUCUGAAGGACUGCAUCAGGAUUCAGACUCACCUGGGCCCGUCAGAUGAGUACCGUGUAGAGUCGCGGGCAGGUUUUCAGGCCUCCAGGUGCCUGUGUGCUGACGAAGCCGAGACCUUCCACUGGGAUAUCACCCCUGUCGAGCUGGGUCAAGUUAACUUCACUAUUAGUACAAAGACUGUGGGCAGCGAUGAACUCUGUGGGGGCCAGAAGGGGGUUGUCCCUGACAGAGGCUGGAGCGACACUGUCAUCAAGCCAGUUCUUGUCAAGCCAGAAGGAGUCCUUGUGGAGAAGACUCACAGCUCAUUGCUGUGUCCAAAAGGAGAGGUGGCUUCAGACUCUGUCUCCCUGGAGCUCCCUGUGGAUACUGUUCCCGACUCUGCCAAGGCUUACAUCACUGCUCUGGGAGACGUCAUGGGCACAGCUCUCCAACACCUAGACGGUCUGGUGCAGAUGCCCGGUGGCUGUGGGGAGCAGAACAUGGUCAUUUUUGCUCCCACCAUCUAUGUCUUGCAGUACCUGGAGAAGACAGGGCUGCUGACUGAGGAGAUCAGGUCUCGGGCAGUGGGCUUCCUGGAGAUAGGGUACCAGAAGGAACUGAUGUAUAAACACAGCAAUGGCUCAUAUAGCGCCUUCGGGGAACAGGAUGGAAAUGGCAACACAUGGUUGACAGCCUUCGUCACUAAGUGCUUUGGCCAAGCUCAGAAAUUCAUCUUCAUCGAUGACAAGAACAUCCAGGAUGCCCUCAAGUGGAUGGCGGGAAACCAGCUCCCCAGUGGCUGCUAUGACAAUGUGGGAAAGCUGCUGCACACCGCUAUGAAGGGUGGUGUUGAUGAUGAGAUUUCCUUGACUGCGUACAUCACAGCUGCACUGCUGGAGAUGGGAAAGACAGUCAAUGACUCGAUGGUGAGACGAGGUCUGCAGUGCCUCAGGAAAUCUGUCGCCACCACUAACAACCUCUACACCCAGGCCCUAUUAGCUUAUACCUUCUCUCUGGCUGGAGAAAUGGAAAUCAGAAGUGCUCUUCUUCACAAGUUAGAUCAACAGGCCACGGUCUCAGGGGAAUCCAUUCACUGGAGCCAGAAACCUGCCACUGCAGGUGCUAGUCCUCGGUCCGAGCCUCAGACAGUGAGUGUAGAACUUACAGCCUACGUGUUGUUGGCUCAGCUCACCAAGAACUGCCUGAUUCAAGAGGAAGUAGCCAAGGCCACUCGCACAGCGGCUUGGUUGGCCAAGCAACGCAAUGCAUAUGGAGGCUUCUCUUCCACUCAGGAUACUGUAGUUGCCCUCCAAGCGCUUGCCAAGUAUGCUGCCGUUGCCUACACGCCAUCUGAGAGAGUCAGCAUGCUUGUAAAAUCCACUGAGAAUUUCCAACGCACUUUCAACGUAGAGUCUGCCAACCGACUGGUACUGCAGCAGGAGGCAUUACCCAGCAUCCCCGGAGUAUACACUGUGGAGGCCUCUGGCCAGGGCUGCGUCUAUGUGCAGACGGUGUUGAGAUACAACGUUUUCUCUCCUAAAAUUCCGGAGACCUUCAGCCUUCAGGUGGAAACGGGAAAAGCUAGUUGUAAAAAACUCGCUUUACCUCGGUCCUUGACUCUCGCAAUUCAUACCAGUUACGUGGGGAGCCGCAGCUCUUCCAACAUGGCCAUUGUGGAAGUGAAGAUGCUGUCUGGGUUCAGUCCCAUGGAAGGCACCAGGCAGUUACUUCUGCAGCAACCCCUGGUGAAGAAGGUCGAGUUCAGCAAAGACACACUUAACAUUUAGUUGGAGGAGCAGGGUCUUGCUGCUCAUCUUAGACUCUUGAUUCUCUUGUCUCAGCCUCCUGAGUGCUUGGACUCUGGGUGGUGCAGCUCAGAAAGAAGACUCAGACUUACACUUUGACCAUCAGCCAAAGUGUGUUGGUGACCAACCUGAAACCUGCCACCAUCAAAGUCUAUGACUACUACUUGCCAGAUGAGCAGGCGAUGACUCAGUACUCUGACCCUUGUGUAUGAGGAUAGAAGCUGGAAGGGGACUAAGUGAACCCUCCGCGACAUCGUGAACAUGAUUUUCCUCCUGAAGCAGAAUUCAUUCACUCACUCAAUUUGGGUCUCUGAUAGGAUGGAUGGCAGAUGGGUAUGCCUGGACCUCAGACUCUGCUUUCUUAUGGAGAGGUGGGGAUACUUUCACACAGGAGACUCCACAAGGCAGGGUCGCAGUGGAAGAGAAAUGGCCAUUCUUUCAUCCAUUCGGGGACUCUCAGAGUGCGGUGGCGGUAGCUGGUGGCGGGAAGAUGAGCAUGUCUCCUGGAGGUGAAAUCUAGGGAAGAUGGGACUUUGGGAGUAGGCUAAAAAAUUAAACUUUUGAAAGGCUAUCAGUGUAUCUGGCUCUGUGUGUUUUUUGGAUGCUGGGGUGGUUUGAAUAAGAAGGUCCCCUAUGAGGCAGGCUUA